rnacentral:rRNA from 1 species
CCCUUAGAUGCUCUGGGCCGCACACGCGCUACACUGAAGGAGGCAGCGUGUACUCCUGGAUCGAAAGAUUUGGGUAACCCGCGAAUCUCCUUCGUGCUAGGGAUUGAGGUUUGCAAUUAUCCUUCAUGAACGAGGAAUUCCCAGUAAGUGCAAGUCAUAAGCUUGCGCUGACUACGUCCCUGCCCUUUGUACACACCGCCCGUCGCUACUACCGAUUGAAUGAUUUAGUGAGGACUUCGGACUGGGACCGAUGCGGCUUUCGGGCUGCGUCGGUAUUCUGGAAAGAUGUCCAAACUGUAUCAUUUAGAGGAAGUAAAAGUCGUAACA